CAGGAUACUAAAUACAAAGUAAGCAGCGUUUUUUGGGUUUACCAGGUUUUGAAUUUUCCAGUGUUCCAAAUCUAUGUCCGUUAAAAGUUCCGGGAUUCGGAACUUUUUUAUUCCUAUUCCUCCCGCUUCAUGACCGCGUCAAAAGUUCAAGAAUUCUUUAAGAUUUUUAAAAAAGUUCCGAGAAAAUUUCGAAAAAUUCAGAAGAUCCGGAACAUGUUAAGAAUUUCAAAAGUUCCGGAGGUCCCGGGUUCGAAUUCCGGUAGUGGCAACACAUUUUCACGGAACUGACGAGUGAAUCUGCAGAAACAGAUUCUACUCGGCCUAAAUCCCUGAUUUGAAAGCCGGAGCAUGGAUGUGCCAAAAAUCCCCUGAUGUCUACUGACCAUAAAAAAUAAUCUCUACAUUAAACUCUUGUCUAUAGAUGGCUGUAGAUUCCUAAAACUGGAAUAGAAGCCAAAUAACCUGCAAAAAAAAAAAAAAAAAAAAAAAAAAAAAAAAAAAAAAAAAAAAAAAAAAAAAAGGUCCGGGAAAAAUUCAGGAAAAGCUCAAAAGUUCCGGAAUUUGGAACUAUUUCGGGAAAUGGAGGCACCGGAAUUUUCACUCUUCAUAUUUGGACGGACGCUGAUGGUUGGAAAUUUUGUUUGGUUUCAGAGGCGGGGUGGGCGGGUUGGGCCGCGUGGUGGAGAUGAUCCGGUUGGACCGGGAGGACAGCCCGGACAGCGUGGGCUACAUCGAGGAUGACCACCCCUGCGGCACGAGAUGGCGGCGCAAACGCUGUCCCUCCUCGCCGCCCCGGAGCGGAAAAGGGGCGACAUCUCCAUGACCUCCUCCACCACCGACAUGGACGCCGGUCUCAUCUACAGCAGGGAUCGACGCCGCGUCCCCUCACAGGUGAGAUGACUGAUCUCUUUUUACGGCAAAUCAUGGGAGUUUUGUUCCGUGGAUACUUGAAUCAAGAGGCUUUCCCACAGUUUUUCUGGGUUCUUUAAACAACGCACAUCUAGGUACAACAUGAGGUUGAUUAAGUAAGUCCUUAUCAUUUCGAGGAAGCUACACUUACUGUCGACUGGAGUAAAACGAUACCCUCUUCUACCUCUUUCAAAACUUAAAUGUUUAUUUUUGUGUAUGUCCAGAAUACUGUAAUCACGCAAGCAUGCAGAAUCCAGCACGUCCUGCUGCUUUGUCUAGAAUGAAAUGGAAAAGGCCCAUUUCAUUUUGUCGAGUUUAAAAUUCAUCGAUUUUUAAUAACACGUGAAAAAUUAUUUGUGAGUCCUUCGGAUGAUCAUUCACAUUUUAGCGAAGAAUGAUG
rnacentral:lncRNA from 1 species